GGUGCGGUAGCCAAGAGGUUAGGCAGCGGUCUGCAAAACCGUUUACACCGGUUCAAUUCCGGUCCGCACCU
rnacentral:tRNA from 1 species